UGGGCUUGUGGUCUCACUGGUUUCAGGAGU
rnacentral:piRNA from 1 species